rnacentral:rRNA from 1 species
GUCCGGAAUUAUUGGGCGUAAAGAGCUCGUAGGCGGCUUGUCGCGUCGGAUGUGAAAACCUGGGGCUCAACUCCGGGCCUGCAGCCGAUACGGGCAAGCUAGAAUUCGGUAGGGGAGACUGGAAUUCCUGGUGUAGCGGUGAAAUGCGCAGAUAUCAGGAGGAACACCGGUGGCGAAGGCGGGUCUCUGGGCCGAUAUUGACGCUGAGGAGCGAAAGCGUGGGGAGCAAACAGG